rnacentral:sRNA from 1 species
GUCUAGCCCCGAUUGCAGUGGAAAUCCUUUUUAUUUUUUCUUUAAAAAUAAAAAGAUUGAAACGUAAAGCGGGACGUCAU